GUGCCAGCCGCCGCGGGAAUUCCAGCUCCAAUAGCGUAUAUUAAAGUUGUUGAGGAUAAAAAGCUCGUAGUUGAACCUUGGGCCUGGGUGGCCGGUCCGCCUCACCGCGUGCACUGGUCCGGCCGGGCCUUUCCCUCUGUGGAACCCCAUACCCUUCACUGGGCGUGGGGGGGAAACAGGACAUUUACUUUGAAAAAAUUAGAGUGCUCCAGGCAGGCCUAUGCUCGAAUACAUUAGCAUGGAAUAAUGAAAUAGGACGCGCGGGUCUAUUUUGUUGGUUUAUAGGACCGCCGUAAUGAUUAAUAGGGACAGUCGGGGGCAUCAGUAUUCAACUGUCAGAGGUGAAAUUCUUGGAUCAGUUGAAGACUAAAUACUGCGAAAGCAUUUGCCAAGGAUGUUUUCUUUAAUCAGGAACAAAAAGUUAGAGGGAUCGCAAAACAAUCAAGAUACCGCCGCGGUCUUAAACAUAAAAAAAUGUCCAACAAAGGGAUCGGAAGGGGGUUAUUUUUGGACCCCGUCCGCCGCCUUACAAAGAAAACAAAAAAGCUUUUGGGCUCCCCCGGGGGAGGAUUGUGCCCGAGGGGGGAAAAUUUAAAGAAAAUAGUAGGCGGGGGGGGCCACCCACCGCGGGGGCCCCCCGCCUUAAUUUUUUUUCCUCCACCGGGGGAAAAUCACCCCCGGGCCCGAAGACAAAAAAAAAUAUCCAAAGGAAUGGAGACCUUCUUUCCUUUUUUUUGGGGGGGGGGGGGGGGGGCCCCCCUUCCCCAUGGGGGGGGGGGGUAUGUGUUCGGUCUUAUUUUGGUAAACAACAAACGAACCCCCAUCA
rnacentral:rRNA from 1 species